UUUUUUUUUCUCUUUCCAUAUUUUUCCUUGUGCAACAACCACAUUACUCACACCAAUAUUGUAACUUGCAAGUAUAUUACCAGCUACACCAUCUUCAUUGCUACAUCCUUGUAGGAUGCAUCAGCUACUCAGAGGGGAAGACACUUGAAAAGUUAUUAUUCUAAAUUAGUAAGACAGUAUUGAAAUAUUUGUUACUGGAAAUUUGCAAAAUGGAUCAUAUUUUGGAAUUGAGAAGAAAUUUUUUUUUAUUAAUAACAAAAAUGCUUCUUGACUGGACAAUGAUGAAGAGCUGAGGCAGAGUUUCUAAACUCUUAUUUCAAAAUUAUGUCCCUGUUACCAUUAGCAUUAUCUUCUUACCACUGCUGCAGUAACAGAUUCCCUGUCAUGUCUUAAAGAUGCUAUUAUUAAACACGUCAGUAUGUAACAAUACAGUUACAUUUUCUGUAAGAAAUAUAUGUACAUUUAAAAUAAAGAAUAUUUCUCAAGGCGCAUAGAUUUAAUCUUUGAAGAGAAGUGAAAUUAUUGAGAAAAAAAGAAAACUUGUUAGUUUUGUAUCUUCAAAAUGCCAUUUCAAUCAAGUAUCAUUGUGUGCUUGAAUAAAUGGUAUUACCAACUUGUGUAAAGUCCUUGAUCAGAAUGAGGCUCUUAAACCAAUUAUGUGGAGAUCAGAGUGGUUAAAAUUAUAAGGAAUACAUUUAGAAUUAUUAAAGACUUCAAAUAGCUUGGUUCAGGCAAAAUUACAUAUAAUUGAUCAUUAGUAUGUGUUGUCAGUAGAAACUGCAGUGAUAGGUGUUGAAGAUCACUUUUCAGACAAAUUGCAGUGAAACUUUUGUAAAACUCAAACCAUAAGAGAUUUCCCCUUUCUAAGGAUUUUUACUGAAUGCAAAUCUUAGCCACUUUUAUUCCUCUUCUCCAAGUACAGAAAGGUGAACAAUAACUUAAAAGUACUAACUAAUAUUAUCUGGAGCAAAUUGUCAAACACAGGUGAAGCAAACCAGAACAAAAAUAGAUUACCUUCAUUGCUGGGUAAGUGAAAACAAAAAUUCAGGAAUUGGGAUGCUGUUAAAAAAGUUUAAAUAAGUAAUUAUUAAAAAAACCCCAAAACCUCAACACAUUAGCUUUAUAGAGAAUUUUCUUCUUUGCCAAAGGGCAAAGCAAUUUCUAGGAAACUAACAUUAAGUCUGACAAAUACAAACUGGAUUGUCAGAGAAUGGUUUUGUCAAGCAUUGACUCUAUAACCCACCCUGAGAAUAACAUGACUGUUUUAUUGAUUCUUAUUUAGCCUCUGUGCAGUCCCUCCAUCCCUUUGCUUUGAAUUUUAUGAUUCAUUUAUUACAGAAUAUAAUAUCAUUCUGGAUAGGUAGCAUUUUUAGAGUCAGGCACAUAAAUCCUAAUCUGGCAAUCAUCCUCUCUGUCACACGAGUGACAGGAUUUUCAUUGAUUUUAGUGAUACGAGUUCAGGAACAAAAUGGCAUGACUUAUGUACUGUAUGAUGUAGGUUAUUUGAUUUAAUUAAUACUCUACUAUCUGUCUGUAGUUACAGUUUACGACCAAAAUCAAAACUUGUGAAAAUCGGUGGCAAUCUCAUAAUCACUUCUCUUUUUGCAUGAAGUGGAAUUUUUCUGCCAUCAGAGAAUCUCUUGAUGGACUUGGCCCUAGUACCAAGUAUGAAAGUAACUCAUAUUUUCAGCAACUACACUUGGAGUGUUGUGUACUUGACAGACUUGGCUUUCUCGCGCUGGGUUAAUCUUGGCUAACAGCCAAACGUUCCCACAGCUGCCCCCUCUCCCCAGCACAACAAGUAUAGGAAGAACUGGAGAGAGAAAGCUCACAGAUUAAUAUAAAAUCAGGAAUACUGUUUAACGAUUACUGUUGCAGACAAAACAAACUUGAUUGGAGGAUUUAUUGCCAAUUAAAAUAAAAAUGUAAUAGCUAGUUUGAGUAGUGCUAAAGGUGAACGUUAAAACAACGUUUCUCCCUUAUUUUCCCAGGCUCCUCUUCAUUCCAGACUCCUCUCUCCCUGACCAGCACAGGGAGAAUUGAGGGCACGUACAGUCAGCAUGUAACAAUUUCUUUUCACUGCUCGCUCAUUCUCACACUUUUCCUCUGCUCUGGCAUGGCUUUCCAUCGGCUGCAGUCCUUCAGGAAAAUGAGCUCUGGUCUGGGCUUGCCACAGUUUCUCAGGCUAUUUCCCCUUGCUCUGGCAUGAAUCUUCCAGGAUGUGCCGUGCUCUGCCAUGGAGAGCACCUUCUCACCCCUCUCUGGCCCCGGCGUUCCCGGCUGCUUCUCACCGUUUCUGUCCGCACUUCCUCUCUCCGCACGGCGUUUUCAGCCCUUUCCCAGCGAUGCUCUCACGGAGGCACCGCCAGCUUUGCCGAACGGCUUAGCUGUGGCCGCAAUGUCUCCCCUGUGGAGCUGGUCGGAGCCAGCUGCUCCCAAAACGGGAAAGUCCCACACCUCUCCUCACAGACGCCACCCCGCAGUCUCUGCCCCACUCCCUCUGCCGAAACCUUGCAACACGCAGCUAAUACAAACCCAAAUGCAGAAUGUUACUCUAGUCUAGGGAAUAAAGCUAACAUUAAAAAUUAGAUUAAAGAGGUCAACAGGAUGGCAAAUAGAACUUAAAUAUGGAGGCAGGAAUGCUGGAUAGGUAAUUGAACUAUUCCUGCACCUUGCUCAAUUCUAAAAUAAAUUUAACUAAUUCGGGAAGGCAACCAAAUGUCGUUAAAGACUUGCAGUUAACCCACUGUUGCUCUUUUUAAAAGAUAAAAGCCAGAAAGAGAGGGAAGUAUGCAUGUUAUCCCUUACAAAAGGGAUAACACGGGCAGGCAGCAUCACAAUGCGCCUCCAUCAGCGCUCAGAGGCGACCCGCGAGCUUGUGCCUCUCCUUGUCCCGAAGCCGCGGGAAGUUCUAUCUUGACAUGCUCUGAGUUUUGAAGGA
rnacentral:lncRNA from 1 species